rnacentral:rRNA from 2 species
GGUUAAGCGACUAAGCGUACACGGUGGAUGCCCUGGCAGUCAGAGGCGAUGAAGGGCGUGCUAAUCUGCGAUAAGCGCCGGUAAGGUGAUAUGAACCGUUAUAACCGGCGAUACCCGAAUGGGGAAACCCAGUGUGAUUCGUCACACUAUCAUUAACUGAAUCCAUAGGUUAAUGAGGCGAACCGGGGGAACUGAAACAUCUAAGUACCCCGAGGAA